rnacentral:rRNA from 1 species
UACGAAGGGGGGCUAGCGUUGUUCGGAAUCACUGGGCGUAAAGCGCACGUAGGCGGAUCUUUAAGUCAGAGGUGAAAUCCCAAGGCUCAACCUUGGAACUGCCUUUGAUACUGGGGAUCUUGAGUCCGGGAGAGGUGAGUGGAACUGCGAGUGUAGAGGUGAAAUUCGUAGAUAUUCGCAAGAACACCAGUGGCGAAGGCGGCUCACUGGCCCGGUACUGACGCUGAGGUGCGAAAGCGUGGGGAGCAAACAGG